GUAGUAAUGUACAGUACGUUCAUUAUGUUAGUAGUACUAUUAGUAAUGAAUUUGUAAAAUGGAGUAAUUAUAUUUAAGAGCUUAAAUUGUAUGUGAGAUUUGUCUAUUUAUUUGAGCCUUAUGUGUAGUGAACGAAUAAGGAAAAAAAACUGAAAAAGCUGCAUCAUCCUCCGUCUCUUCCAUUUUCCUUUUUUUGCUUCGAUCUGCCAUUACUUACCUGCUUCUGUUCAUAUCCAUGGCGUGCUUCAUAGCUACAGAGAGAGAUAGCUAGUUGCGUUCAGAGACACAGUGGAUAUAGACACGUGUCAUCUCUACGCUUUGCAUGAGUGCACCUCUCUCUUUGACCAGUCUAAUUAAUCACCGCAUCUUGAAGAGAGAGAGAGAGAAGGCGUUCGUUGAAUUUGGACCUGUUUCAGUUUUCAUCUUUAUCUUUUUUUCUUUUCUGUUUUCUAUUCAUGUUUUUACCUCUUUCUCUGUUGAUAUUGUUUGGCCGCAAACCCUAGAAACGUCGGUGCAGACAGAUCCGUAACUGUUUUAAUCCAUUCAAUACACCUUUUCUUUCAGAUCUGAUUUAAUUCUUAGUUAUUUCCUCUUUUGGUUAUUUUUUUCUCCUUUCAUAUCCGAGAAUCUUUCUCUUGUUUUUCUGUUUUGGGAGAUAAAAAUUGACAGAAGAGAGUGAGCACACAGAGACACUCGAUAUAGAAUUCUAUACCGGUGCAUUUGCGUGCUCACUGCUCUCUCUGUCAAUUUCCACUGCGCCGGAAGAAAUUACUUUCGUCCUGUUAUGCUCCCAUUCAUCUCCGAUCCCAUUCUCAACCCUUCUCUCUCACACUCACUUCUGCAGGUAUAUGUAAUUAUCAAACAGUGUUAAUUAAUUUGGCGUUGUUUCUAUGAUCUUUUGUUUUUAUUAAAUUAAUCUUUAACUUAUACUCUAUAUCUGAAUUUAGGUUAUGAAAUUGAUUAUAUUAUAUUAAACAGAAGGCGUUGCUUUUGAUGCAUGCCUGCCAGAUUAAGUGUCAAUUUCUUUAUACACACAUAGAUUCUAGAUUUUUUCUUUAUACAUACAGAUUCUAGACUAUUAUAUAAACAUGUUAGUUGGCAUAUAUAGCAUAAUAUCAUGGACCAUUCACGUCAUUUCUAGUAUGGUCCUCACAAAUUUUUUCUAUCACUUUUAUCAUAUUUUAUAUGAUUCUUUUUCAUCUGAUAAAGUAAGUGAUAUUAAUUGUUGUUUCUUUUUCAUCUAAAUAGUUUAUUCUGAUGUAAUGUAAUUAUCUUGGUUGUGAUAAAUGCUAGUUCUUGAUUUGAUAAUAUUCUGCACAAACGCUUGAUUUUUUGAGUUUGAUACAGGUGAAAGCAUACAAACAUGGAAUUAACACUAUGCAUGCAUGUUGGUUCUGUGCCUUCGAUUUAAAUUUUCUUUGCAUACUCCUGUUGCAUCGUCAAAUCAUGUCUUAGCACAGCAGUUGACUAUCACUUCUAUAUACAGUGCUACUUCCUUCCAAACUUUUUCCAGGUUAACAUGGAAUACUCUAUUAAUGAUCUUAAGGUAUUUGAGACCAAAACUUAAAUGUUAUUGACAAAAUUUUAUUUGGAUCUAUAUUGUUGUUGCUUUGUAUGAACUUUUUUUGAUGAUUUUUUAAUAGUACUAUUUAAGUAUAAAAUCAAUUUGAUUAAACUAGUGGUUAGAGGUUUUGGUAGUUUAUAUAGAUUCGAAUUUCUUUUUACCAAUAUGCAUAAGAAAUAAGAAAUACUCUAAUCCUCCCAACUCUCAAAUCUCUUCUAUGAGGUUUGGUUUUUGAGUAUAUAUAAGCUCAUAGGCCAAAACAUUAUUUUCACCAAAAUAUACACACAAUUAUGAAAAAAAUAAUAAUCUCAAGUCCCUCCUAUCUCUUCCUGCCAAAUAGAUUGUGGGAUUAAUGUAAUAUUGUUGGAUUAAUGUAAAGGUUGAUUGUGUGAAUAAUAGAUGAAUUAUAACUUUUUUAACAUCAAAAUAUAUUAAUAGCCCUCAUUUCAAGCACAAAAAACUACAAAGGUUUUUAAUAAAAGGCAUUGGGUAUCAUUCCCAUUAUAUUUUCUCAUACUUCAAAUUAUCUAAACUUGUAAUUUGUUAGAAAUAAAUUCAUUUUUAUCUCAGUUCAAACAUAGAUUAGUGGAUAAGUCUUGUUACAGGUGAAAUCUAGCUAUUCAUUGCUUGGAAGCCAACACUUUUGGAGGGGUCCUUUGUUUUCAGCAUACUUGAAGAGGAACCUCCAUAACAAAGGUUAGUAAUUUCUUUUGGCAACUUCUUUUUUAUAGGAUUACAAUGGGUUUGUAACUUUCCUUGGGGAGGGUUUUAUCCUUGCAAGCAAUUCACUUUAGUGUGUUUUGUGUGGUGGUCCCUUUGAAACAUCACUAUAUCCACUCUAUGGGGAUGAGUUUGCCUUAGAGAUUUGGCAUUGCGUGUCUCAUUGGAUGAAUAUGAUCUUGGUUCACUCAUAAGUAUUUUUGAAGGUCAGGGCCGUUAGGGAUGACAAUGAACAAAGUUUGGACAAGAAACUAUAGUAUCCGUCCCCUUACUCAUAGUUUAAAAAAAUUCUUGUACUCGAGUCUAUAUUCGUGUGCACCAACUUUUAUACUCGAACCCGUAUCCUACGCGUGCUUAAGUAAUUAAUUUCAAACUGUUUUUUGUGUUACUGAUCUAACACAAGAAACAACCUAGGGAGGACACCAGACAUGCAAAGAAGAGACUUGAUUGCCAUACACCUAAUUGCAAGAAAUUUUUCCAUAAACUCAAGCUUCCACCGAUUUCGCCUUACUUAUGUUUCCAAAAGAGGAACCAAGUUAUAAAGUAGUUUGAGGUAUCUUACCCUCCGACCACCAUCCAUUUUAUAUUUACAAACAUUGGAUUACCUGGCCCAAUGAAAUUUCUUUUCUCCUUUCAUACCUUUCUAUAAGAAACACGACUAACAAGUCACCUUGCUCAAGCCCCCUUUCUAUAUUAACCUCUUCAAUUGGGCACCAUUGACCAACAAAGAUAGACUAAGAGGGAAAACACAUGCAUGAAUCCAAGCAUGCCAUUUGUCAUUAAACCACCAAACCUCUCUAAUAUUUAGUCCACAAUGCCUCGACUCACUUACUCUUCUCAAAGUUCACCUUAAAAACAUGACAUUUCUUUAUAGUUGAUUGUGCUCGAUAAUGUUUAAUACAAGAUAACCCCGUCUUCCUCUCCCCAUUUUGGGUAAUUGUCAUUCAAUAUCUAUAUUCUCUCCUCCCCUCACCAACUUACCUUCUACCUAACUAUUGCAUAUUAGCUCUCUUACUCUACCAUUCUUAAAAGGAGACUUAAAGACAAUCAACCAUUUCUGAACGCUAACCACUUUUUCGGAGAAGAUAGUUUUGUUUCGAAACUUCUAGAAACCUCACACCAUCAUGUGUCAAACUAAAGAAACCCCUUUAUUAAUCCUCCUUAUGGAGCCUAAAGAAGUGAACACAGCAAAUAACCAGAAUAGAUCUAUCUAGAGGCGUAGGAAGCUAACAACACAACCACUACCACAACUAAAUAGAAAAUUCACACUUCCACACAAAAAUACACGUGGAAUCAUAUUUCUAAAGAAUCAUCCUAUGUCUUUAGACUGAUGAGAUAGCACAGCUCUCACGAGAAAGCAAUGACCUUAGAUGUGACAAAUUUGCAUCAAACAACGUACAAAAUUUGAGUAUCUUCUUUUGUGAGGCAUCCAACCUGGGAGGAUUUUGCAGUCAAAGAAAUAAGUGGAGCUAACUCUAAAGACGCCACUAGCAUCAUGGAUUAAGGAUCAAUUAUCCUUCAUCCGAGACAUAUUCCUAGCUAAGUGUUAGCACACCCUCAAAGAACCAAUCCUACCUAGAGUCGAAAUACUAACCCUAAAGCAAAACAUCUUCACACCACUAGGAACACUUGAAGAAGUUGAGUGGACGACAACCAAGCAACACCCAUAUAUCAUGCUCAAACCUCGUACCCCUAGUGUUACUGCCACCUUCACCAAACCCUCAAAGAAUCGAUCCAACCUAGAGUUGAGAGACUAACCCAAAAGCGAAGCUUCUUUCCACCACUAGGAACACUUGGAGAAGUUCGUUGGACGGUACCAAAUGGGGAAAGGAAAACAUGGUUGUCAUAUCUAUCGAUGAAGAGAUCUUGCCACCACAAAAGACCACCCAUUAAAGCCCUUGGUCUCCAUUUCUUAAGGAGAUCCUAAUUGAAGACACAUGGGUCUUCUUACCUCCUUUGAGGCCCCCGGAUUUUAAUUCAAAUAAGAGUCUUCCAAAUGUUCACUAGAAACUUUAAAAAACAAAAAGAUUGAAGAUAUGAGUACUAUUAAUAACUGAGUUAAUAGAAUCCCAAGUAAUCGAAUUUCAAGGAUUAGUCUCAAAUGGAAGCCGAGAUAUUUAAGAGGUAUAGAACCCAACGAUUAAUUCAAUAAUCACUCGAUCAUCAUCAAGAAAUCCUCAAGAAAGGAUCAGCAACAUUAAUCCCAAUAAUACUACUUUUGAGUACUUUUGAGUAUAUUGGCCAUUUCAUAUACUUUUGUUGUAUUUAAACAGACUGAAGAUAUUGGUCUCUUACAUUUUUUCCCCUUCUCAGUGUCACUCCCACCUUUUCCCUUAGCCAAGAUACAUCUCCAAGAGCAUACCUUAACUUGAUAUGCACCUUUUAAAAGAAAAGGAGACAGGUUAUAAGUUUGUUGUAUUUAAAUAGACUGUGAAGAUAUUGGUCUCUUAUAUUUUUUUGCAGUUAAAAAAUCCACAUAAAUAAUGGCUGCAUGGAUAAAAGAUGAGUAUUUGUUUGUAUAUGAUUUCAGGAUAUGUCAAUUAUUGGAUCAAGAACUAGCAAGUGUAUAUGCCCUUAUGGCAACCUAAUCUGAGCUGGUAUAUAUAAUUGUUUAUGAAGGCAAGGUAUGUGGCUUUCCCUUGUAUUUAUUGUUUGUUUUUCAAUUAUUCAAGCAUUUAAUGUCGUUUUUAGUUUGAUAAAUAGCGGAAAUUAGUUUAACUAUAGUACAAGUACUGUAUCGAAGUUUAGUACUAGAAAUAGUUCUUCUAUGAAUGGUAUGUAGAGUGCUUAUAGAGUGUAGGAUAUGUUUGUAUGUAGAGUUCUCUGGGUCCUCUAGUGUGGGUGUCAUCAUGUCUUUUAUGGCUUGGAAUGAAAUAAUUUAGGUUUCUUUCGGGGAUUUUUUACUGCCAUAUCCCUUAUCCCAUUUUUGAAAUGUUAUUUCCAAUAUAUCACAUUUUAAAAUUAAAGUCCCAGAAAACCCUAUUUUACACUAUCCACUCGCCCAAUGGAUGGACGAGUUCGUGAUGAAUUUUGCGUGCAGCAGGGACUCGGCCAAUGGUUGGCCGAGUUAAAGAAGGAAUCUUGUUUUUUAUUUUAUUUUUAUUUUGAAUAUAUUUUUAGUAUUAAUAAUAAAUGAUUUUUGAAUACUAAAUUAAUAAUAAAUGAUUUUUAGUAUUUUUUUCUAAUAAUUUUUUAUAAAUUAAUUUUUGUUUUAAUAAUAAAAGUAUAAUCAUAUUAAUUAAGCGUAUAAAUAAUUGUAAGAAAUAAUAAACAUUUUAUUGAUGUACAUGAAAAAAAAAAUACAUUUUAUUUGUUAUAGUGAUCGUCCGUUCCACAUCCCGUGCCUACUUUUUUGCGUUUUUCCUUGCCUAAGUCUUCAGCUCUUUGUCUUGGGGGAGAUGGAGAUGAGUCGGAAGACAAAUCUUGAUGUUGAUCUUGAUGUUGCUGUGAUGUAUUGGGAUACAUUUUCAUACCGUCGAAAUCUUGAAUGGAAAAAAAAGGGAUAUCCAAUAGAUGCUCAUCCGUGAGAUCAAAGUCAGGUAGUGAAUGUGUUGGUUGUGUGAAGGUGUUGGAUUGGAUUGGAUUGGGUGUGUUGGAUUGGAGGAUAGUAGAUAUUAUCAAGGUUGAAUGUAGAAGUGGGUUGUGCGAAUGCAGUGUUAAAUGUUUGGGGUUGAGAUUGGGGGUUUGAAUUAUCAAAGUUUGGUUGAGGAAUUGGAGUGUACUCUAUAGGUAGGUGUAAGUUGGUUUGUGGUUGAUAUUGUUGGUUGUAAAAGUAGUUUGUUUGAGGGAAUGAAGUGUUUGGAUUUUGGUGUUGGGAUGAGGUGGUAUAAAAUGUGUGUUGUUGUGUGGUAUAGGUGUGAUGGUAUAUUUGUUGGACGGAUGAAGAAGGUUGGGCCCCAAAUUGGGAUGUGUAUGUGGGGGAAUGUUAUGAUGUAGGGGUGAUGUAGUUUGCUGGGUUGAAGAAGAGACACAUUGAUGGGGAUCGUUCAAAAAUUAUGUCGGAGCAACUUGCGUAAAAGGAAUUAACAAAAAUCAAUUCAUAUAUUCUCUACCCGGCUUAGACUCACAAAGUACCGAGUUCCCUUGUAAUAUCAAAUGCCUUCUCUUUUUUCAUUCUUUGACCUCUUCUUUAUUCAAAUCUUGUCAAUGUGUAUCCCAAGCUUGGACCAUAGUCAUAUUAUGGUGUUCACUUAGACAUAUUGGCUGAGACGGGAUGUGUUGUUCAAAUCCAAAUUGGAGUGUGACCCUAUUUGUCUAAUGCAUCUCAACGGUAAAGAAACAUAUUAUAUAUGUUGUUGCACUCCAGACUUGACUGUCACUAUAAUCAGGCACUGAGUAUAAAAAUAAGUUUAGAUAAGUUGAAGAUUGUAAUGAACCAUACUUACAUCAUUUUCUUCCAUGUGUUCAAUUGCAACUCGGUACCCACGUAGAUGACGACGACGAUUGUUUCCGUAAUGUAUACCUCAUUUGCACCAUCUUGCAUUUACAAAAAAAAUAUUAAUAAUGUAUAAUUUACUGUGAGAACAAUAAAGUGCAUUCAAUGAAACUAAGUACCUUAAUGCAUACGGAUGUGAUGGAACCUCGGUACUAACUGGGGAAAACAACGGUAUAUGUGUGAAUGCCUAGACACUGAGUAAUACAACACAUCCUCAUAUGCUCUUCACUCUUUUUUGGGCUGCCUUGCACAUAUGUCUAUAUAAUGUUGUCAGACAAGCAGAACUCCAACUGUGUGUUACAUUUUUCUAGGUAUCCUACUAAAGGUAACCAAGAUGAAUGCAAUAAAUUGUGACUCUUAUCUGACAUUAAGAAAGUAGCAAUUAAUAAUAAAAUAUAGAAUUUUGCAUGAAGAAUGUUUUCCGCUUCCGUGGGGGAAGAAUUAUUUUUUAGCUGUGUUAAUAGAGCUUCUAACCAAAUAAUUUUUACAGAAGCCCCAUUUUUACCUGAAGCGGUCAGUUUGAUGCCUAAAUUCUCCAUGUAAACAUCGUUAGUUACAUUUGUUGGGCCAUUAAUAGGUUUACCGUUAAUUCGGAGACCGAUUAACAUACUCACAUCCUCCGGUGUAAUAGUACAUUCACCAAUUGGUAAAUGAAAAGUAUGUGUCUCGGAUCUCCAUCUCUCUAACAACGCAACAACUAGUUUGGAGUCUAUUUUUAAACUUGUUAUUUUUGCUACAUUAGCAAAACUGGCUUGUUCUAAAUACAGUAUUAUAACAACACUUGGUUGAAUAUGAGUAUGAGAAUGGACCCAGAACCUAGUGUCUUCCUGAAAUGUAAUAAAAAUCAUAAUGAAUAUUUUUGGUGAUGAGAAGCUGAAUUAAAAAAAACGUAAUGAAUACGUAGACUUACAUAUUCCGCAAUGUUUGUUGCUGUUCCACGGUGUGAUUCUCCCAUCCACAACAAGGACAUUAUAUAUAUAUAUGAAUUUGAAGAAAAUAUUCUGCAAUGCAAAUAUUUGAUGGUUGAAAAGAUUUGAUGAAAAGAUGUUGAUGAUUAGAAACUCAUUUAUAGUGUAGGAAAAAAGAUUGUUGAUUGUCCCAUAAAUGAGCUUCUCAUCAUCAACAAUCUUUUAUUAUUUUCAUAUAUGUCUCACAUAAUCAUAUGUUCACAACUUAAUAAAAUAAUUAUUUCAAAAAUUCAUUACAAAUUUAAUACAACAAUAUCGAUAAUACAACAUAACAUAGUUCUACACUUUGAUUAUAACGUUCAUUUAAGAAUAAUUUGACCAAACUAAAGAAUUACAAUAAACUAAGUUAAACUAAUUCAAACCAAAAUUAAAAUAAUAGAAUAUAAUAAUUAAGAUAAAAUUUAAAUAAUUAAGAAUAUCUAAAUUAAAUAAGAUAAAAUAUCAAAAAUAAAUAAUAUAAUAUAUUUUAUUAAACAAAAAAAACGAAUUUGAGUUGAACUACGACAAAUAAAUCUUAAUUGACAACAAUAAACAAUAUUGACUUGAACGAUAAUUAAUAUUGAGUUGGAUAUCGUGAUUAUGUUUGAAAGGGACAACGUGAUGAUGGUGUAGUAUGGUUGAAAAGAAAAACUAUAAUGGAAUGACGAAAUUUAGAAGGUCGUAUGAUUAUAAAAAAAUACAUAACUUUUUUUUUGUGAUUGAGAAUGUAUGUUAAGUUUUGAUAUUGACAUAUUAAAAAUUUUAAGAUAUUAAAAAAAUGAUCAAUUUGAUGAUUUUUUGAACCAGAUGGUUUUAUAAAACUGACUCCGGUUCUUUGGUUCAAAUGAUUUUGGACGGUUCAACCCGAUUUUUCCAGUUUUACUCCGGUUUUGACCCACUAACGAUUUUGAAAGAUUAAUCCAAUCGGAUUCAUCUCCGAUUCCCGAUCCAACCGGUUGAACCAGACGGUUCGGUUCAGUUUUUAAAACAUUGCUUCCAAUACAUUAAAUUAGAAAAAAAAACUGAAAUACUUUAUAGAGUAUUUCCCCAGAUCAAAAGACAUUGCAAAUGAGUUUUAAUAUGAAUAAAAAUCAAAAGAUUUUGUCUAAAAGUUCUAAUAAAAUUAUAAAAUAGGAGGAUUUACUGGAUCUGUCCCUAUUUGUAAUAUAUGUGAAUUAAAAGAGUUGAAUGAAGGGUUCCGAUUUAUAACAAAUUUUGUAUGUAUCGAAAAAAUCUAAAAAAUUAAUUACAAUUCAAAUCAUAAUGUUUUUCUGCUAGAUUGCUCUAUAAGCAUUACAUAUAACAUGUUUUAUUUUCAAUUACUUGGAUCUAUCAUUUGAAUUACAAAAUCUUUGGCUGAAAAUUUCUUGAAUUUAGGCGGGUACAAAUGCUCAUAUAUUGAAUCAAGUGCAUGUUCGGUUCGUACAAGAAGGUUCUCAAGAAUAAGAGAAUCUUGUAUGUCGUAAUUAAUAUAAAUGUACCUGACACACGUAUAAUUCGUAAGAAAAUACUAUUAAAUCCUUUGAACUCUUAAAUAAAAUGAAUAAAAAAUAA